rnacentral:misc_RNA from 1 species
UCUUAUCAACAGCUUUAUUGCAGGA